GCAGUCGAGCGAAUGGAUUAAGAGCUUGCUCUUAUGAAGUUAGCGGCGGACGGGUGAGUAACACGUGGGUAACCUGCCCAUAAGACUGGGAUAACUCCGGGAAACCGGGGCUAAUACCGGAUAACAUUUUGAACCGCAUGGUUCGAAAUUGAAAGGCGGCUUCGGCUGUCACUUAUGGAUGGACCCGCGUCGCAUUAGCUAGUUGGUGAGGUAACGGCUCACCAAGGCAACGAUGCGUAGCCGACCUGAGAGGGUGAUCGGCCACACUGGGACUGAGACACGGCCCAGACUCCUACGGGAGGCAGCAGUAGGGAAUCUUCCGCAAUGGACGAAAGUCUGACGGAGCAACGCCGCGUGAGUGAUGAAGGCUUUCGGGUCGUAAAACUCUGUUGUUAGGGAAGAACAAGUGCUAGUUGAAUAAGCUGGCACCUUGACGGUACCUAACCAGAAAGCCACGGCUAACUACGUGCCAGCAGCCGCGGUAAUACGUAGGUGGCAAGCGUUAUCCGGA
rnacentral:rRNA from 1 species